AGCUGGAACCUGCUCACAGCUUCUAGAAGCCACCUGCAGUACCUUGUCAGAUGGACUGUCUCAACAGGGUUGCUUACUUCAUAAAAGCCAGAAAGACAAAUCCUCUCUCUCUCUCACUCUCUCUCUCUCUCUCUCUCUCUGUCUCUCCCUCUUUUUCCCUUUCUCCCCCUGUCUCAGUUGCUAAGUGAGAAUGAUGUAACACAAUCAUGGAAUUGCAGGAAUGGAAUCACAGAAGUGGCGUCUCAUCAUCUUUGUCAUAUUCUAUUGGUCAGUAGCAAGUCAUAGGUUCUACGAAGGAGUUUUCACUAAUAACAGUGAGAUACACAGAGCAGUGAUCCAAUAAAAAGAAAUGGCCAUGAAACAAAUAUUCACAAGAACAAGUACAUCAUACAAACUCUUGCUACAGAAGGAAAUAAUAAAGUGUCAUCAGGACAUGUAAUAGAGGGAGAUAUCUGGUAGCAUUGAAGAUAUCCCCCACAAGGAUGAGAUUUGAGCUGAAAUAUGAAAGAAGAGAGGGAGUUUAAUUAAACAGCAUAGAGAAGGGAAGAGUGAAAAAUUCUAAGAGUGAACUGUAUGUUCCAAAGCUCUAUGGUAGGAUAAAAGCACGGCACAUUUAAGAAAUGCAAGGAAAGCCCACGUGUCUGAAGAAGAGAAGCAGCCAGAGGAAGAGGAAGGGCGAGGCAUUGGAUAAGAAGAGCAGACCCCAGAGUAGAAGUGUCACGUGGCCUUCCUGUAGACCUGUGUGCCAACAGUCACAGAGAAGGAAAUAGUGACUGGGCUGCCCAAGAGGUGAUUUACUUUGAAGAGCAUCUGGUUAGGAGGAACUCAUCUCAGCGAGGCAUAAUAGUUGUUUCUAACCGACUGAAAGCAAAUCAUUCAGGAUUUUCUGGUUUCCUGUAGAUCAAAUGUCAUAAAUUGCUACAUUUUCUCUUUGCCAAGAAUUCCAGAAGUUCAAGAUGAAGAAUAGAUCUGUCCAUAAUUGUUAUUUGACUCAGGACAAGGAAAUUGUUAGAAAUACAUUACACUGAUGCUGGAAAUAGGAGAGAAAAAAAGCAAAUUCAUCAUGCUUGUAGCAAAUGCAAGUAUGUGUUUUCUUCUUUUGUCAAAUCCCUGUAUUCUAGAAGAAUAACGUCUUUGUGCUCCUCCUGCAUGUUUAUGAUGUCUAGUGAAGUGUUAAUCUUUAUAGCAGAGAUCAAUCACAAUGUACUUAAUAAAAACCAUAAUCCCCCUGCA